rnacentral:rRNA from 1 species
CUGGAUACGAGCUUCAGCCGCAUGGCUAGGAGCUGGAAAGAAUUUCGGUCAAGGAUGGACUCGCGGCCUAUCAGGUAGUUGGUGAGGUAAUAGCUCACCAAGCCUACGACGGGUAGCCGGCCUGAGAGGGUGACCGGCCACACUGGAACUGAGACACGGUCCAGACUCCUACGGGAGGCAGCAGUGGGGAAUAUUGCACAAUGGGCGAAAGCCUGAUGCAGCAACGCCGCGUGAGGGACGACGGCCUUCGGGUUGUAAACCUCUUUUAGUAGGGAAGAAGCGAAAGUGACGGUACCUGCAGAAAAAGCACCGGCUAACUACGUGCCAGCAGCCGCGGUAAUACGUAGGGUGCAAGCGUUAUCCGGAAUUAUUGGGCGUAAAGAGCUCGUAGGCGGUUUGUCGCGUCUGCUGUGAAAACUGGAGGCUCAACCUCCAGCCUGCAGUGGGUACGGGCAGACUAGAGUGCGGUAGGGGAGAUUGGAAUUCCUGGUGUAGCGGUGGAAUGCGCAGAUAUCAGGAGGAACACCGAUGGCGAAGGCAGAUCUCUGGGCCGUAACUGACGCUGAGGAGCGAAAGCAUGGGGAGCGAACAGGAUUAGAUACCCUGGUAGUCCAUGCCGUAAACGUUGGGAACUAGAUGUAGGGACCAUUCCACGGUUUCUGUGUCGCAGCUAACGCAUUAAGUUCCCCGCCUGGGGAGUACGGCCGCAAGGCUAAAACUCAAAGGAAUUGACGGGGGCCCGCACAAGCGGCGGAGCAUGCGGAUUAAUUCGAUGCAACGCGAAGAACCUUACCAAGACUUGACAUAUACGAGAACGGGCUAGAAAUAGUUCACUCUUUGGACACUCGUAAACAGGUGGUGCAUGGUUGUCGUCAGCUCGUGUCGUGAGAUGUUGGGGUUAA